ACAGGUUUGGUCCUGGCCUUUCUAUUGAUUAUUAAUAGACUUACACAUGCAAGAAUCCUCGAUCCAGUGAAAAUGCCCUUAAGCCUAUAACUGGCAUAAAGGAGCUGGUAUCAAGCUCACUAAAAGUAGCUCAUAACACCUUGCUUUGCCACACCCCCACGGGAUACAGCAGUGACAAAAAUUAAGCAAUAGACGAAAGCCUGACUAAGUUAUAUUUUUUAGGACUGGUAAAUUUUGUGCCAGCCACCGCGGUCAUACAAUUAGCCCAAAUCAAUAGACAUACGGCGUAAAGAGUGUUUUAGAAAUUAAAUUUUAAUAAAGUUAAACUUUAACUAAGCUGUAAAAAGCCCCAGUUACUGUAAAAUAAACAACGAAAGUGACUUUAAAUACUCUGACUACACGAUAGCUAAGACCCAAACUGGGAUUAGAUACCCCACUAUGCUUAGCCUUAAAUAUAAAGAAUUAUGAACAAGAUUAUUCGCCAGAGUACUACCAGCUAAUGCUAGAAACUCAAAGGACUUGGCGGUACCUUAUAUCCCUCUAGAGGAGCCUGUUCUAUAAUCGAUAAACCCCGAUAAACCUCACCAAUCCUUGCCAAACCAGCCUAUAUACCGCCAUCUUCAGCAAACCCUAAAAAGGAGUUAAAGUAAGCACAAAAAUUAGCAUAUAAACGUUAGGUCAAGGUGUAGCCUAUGGAUUGGGAAGAAAUGGGCUACAUUUCUCGAAUAAAGAGCUAUUUACGAAAACUUAUGUGAAAUCAAAAGUUAAAGGUGGAUUUAGUAGUAAAUUAAGAAUAGAGUGCUUAAUUGAAUAAGGCCAUAAGGUACGCACACACCGCCCGUCACCCUCCUCAAACAAAUGCAAAAUCUAUUCUAUAAUUCCACAAUAAUAAUAUGUAAGAGGAGAUAAGUCGUAACAAGGUAAGUGUACUGGAAAGUGCACUUGGAUAACA
rnacentral:ncRNA from 1 species